CCUACGGGUGGCAGCAGUGAGGAAUAUUGGUCAAUGGCCGCAAGGCUGAACCAGCCAAGUCGCGUGAGGGAUGACGGCGCUACGGGUUGUAAACCUCUUUUAUAAGGGGAUAAAAUGAGGCACGUGUGCCUUUUUGUGUGUACUUUAUGAAUAAGCAUCGGCUAACUCCGUGCCAGCAGCCGCGGUAAUACGGAGGAUCCGAGCGUUAUCCGGAUUUAUUGGGUUUAAAGGGUGCGUAGGUGGGUUGUUAAGUCAGUUGGGAAAGUUUGCGGCUCAACCGUCACAGUGCAAUUGAUACUGGCAGCCUUGAGUACAGUGGAGGCAGGCGGAAUGCGUGGUGUAGCGGUGAAAUGCUUAGAUAUCACGAAGAACCCCGAUUGCGAAGGCAGCUUACCAUACCGCCACUGACAUUGAGGCUCGAAAGUGUGGGUAUCAAACAGGAUUAGAUACCCGUGUAGUC
rnacentral:rRNA from 1 species